GCCAGUAUGGUGGUUGAUUACAAGCCACUCGGUUUGUAAUCGAGUGGGCUCGGGUUCGAAUCCCGAAUAAGGCA
rnacentral:tRNA from 1 species